GGGCCGGUAGAUCAGCCUGGAACGAUCGCAGCGUUGGCAUCGCUGAGGUCGCGGGUUCAAAUCCCGCCCGGUCCACCA
rnacentral:tRNA from 1 species